UGGCAAUAAAAUCCAUUAACACAAUAUCCAUCCAAUCCAUCCUAUAAUUUAUCCAUCCAAUCCAUCCAUUAAACAAAAAAAUAUUUUAAUGGAUUUAUCCAAUCCAUCCAUCAAAUUAUAUGGAUGGAUUCAAUCCAUCCAUCUUAUUUUAUAAAUCCAUUGGAUAUUAUUUUAUCAUUUAUUAAAUAAAACUUUUUAAUAAAAAAUAUAUUAAACAUUUAAUAUCUUUUCUUAAAACACAAUAAGAAAAUAAAAUAUAUUUGAAAAUUAGAAAAACAUUUCAGAUUCAAUUUCUUGUUUCCAGAUUUCUUCUUCCCCCAAACUUCAGGAAUCACCACGUUUUCUCCAAACGAACGAAGAACCCUAAUUUUGUAUUCCCCCAAUUUCAUCUUCCCCCAAUUUCACGAUGAAACCAUUUCGCUAGCAAUUCAACUCAACAUUUUGGUGCUACAAUUGCAAUUCAACUCAACGUUUUGAUGCUACAAUCUCAAUUCAUCUCAGCAUUGCAAAUUCAAAUCAGCAUCGCAACUCAACGUUUCGUAUUGUCAUAAUCGUUGCCUCUUCUGCUGGAUAUUCUCUCUGUAGCUUUUCAAGAUUUCUCUUCGGCGGCUGUUGAUAUAUUUUUUGCGUUUUCUACUUCAAAGGUAAACCUAUAGUAUUAUCUGGAAAAACCCAUGAAUGAGUAGGUGGAAUCAAGGUUUUCGGUUGUGGCUUCUGGUGUAAAUCAUCAAGUUUCAUCAAGAGAGCUUCAACAUACAUCAUUGAUGAGUUUCUGCUCUCAUUGUUUUGGAUUCGGAAAUAGAUUCAAUGAAAUUAGCAGGGUGAAGGGAGAGUGAUUUGUGGAGUGGUGAAGAGCAAAGAAUGGUUGAAGAAGAUAAUGAUGGAGAGUGGUGGGAGAUUCUGUUAUAUAGAGGUUGAUGAAAGUUGAGAACUUUGAAUCUGAGCCAUAGAUUGAAGAAUUAUGUUACAAGUUGAAAGGUGAGAUUGAAUCAAUUCUGAGGUUAGUUACAUUCUGUUUUUGAUAAGCUGGAAUUUCGUUACCCUUCUGUUUUGGUAGUUAGUUGUGAACUGAAUGUUAGUUACAGGUUUAAAGCAGUUAGCCAAUGUUAAUAGAAGCUGGUGAAACUAUUAGAAGUGAAGUUAGUUUUUUUCUGUUGGAUUCUGUUAUGUAGUUUGUUAAGUGUUAGGAUUCAGUUAUUGUUAGUAAUAAAAUUGAUGAAUUGGAAUUAUGUUAACACAAUUGUUGUGUUUGGAGGUUCAACUUCCUAUGAUAUCAAUCUGUUUUGGAUUUCCCUUUGAGUUCUUAAAUAUGCCUUGCCUGAAUGCUUUUGUGUGAUGAACUGACCUGCUUGAUAAUGCUUGUAACAAAUCUGAUCGGCAUUUUACUUGAUAUUGAGCGGCGUGAAUACGACGUGAGAUUAUGAACCUGGGCCGAGUUUGAUGCAAACUGAAGCUGAAUUGACUUUUAAUUU